CAGGCUUACACAUGCAAGUCGAGGGGAAACGACAUUGAAGCUUGCUUCGAUGGGCGUCGACCGGCGCACGGGUGAGUAACGCGUAUCCAACCUGCCUCUGACUAAGGGAUAACCCGGCGAAAGUCGGACUAAUACCUUAUGAGGUUUUCUGCAGACAUCUAACGAAAACGAAAGAUUUAUCGGUCAGUGAUGGGGAUGCGUCUGAUUAGCUUGUUGGCGGGGUAACGGCCCACCAAGGCAACGAUCAGUAGGGGUUCUGAGAGGAAGGUCCCCCACAUUGGAACUGAGACACGGUCCAAACUCCUACGGGAGGCAGCAGUGAGGAAUAUUGGUCAAUGGGCGAGAGCCUGAACCAGCCAAGUAGCGUGCAGGAUGACGGCCCUAUGGGUUGUAAACUGCUUUUAUGUGGGGAUAAAGUGAGCUACGUGUAGUUUAUUGCAGGUACCACAUGAAUAAGGACCGGCUAAUUCCGUGCCAGCAGCCGCGGUAAUACGGAAGGUCCAGGCGUUAUCCGGAUUUAUUGGGUUUAAAGGGAGCGUAGGCCGUGGAUUAAGCGUGUUGUGAAAUGUAGACGCUCAACGUCUGAAUUGCAGCGCGAACUGGUUCACUUGAGUAUGCACAACGUAGGCGGAAUUCGUCGUGUAGCGGUGAAAUGCUUAGAUAUGACGAAGAACUCCGAUUGCGAAGGCAGCUUACGGGAGCACAACUGACGCUGAAGCUCGAAGGUGCGGGUAUCAAACAGGAUUAGAUACCCUGGUAGUCCGCACAGUAAACGAUGGAUGCCCGUUGUUAGUUCACUUUAGAAUUAGCGACCAAGCGAAAGCAUUAAGCAUCCCACCUGGGGAGUACGCCGGCAACGGU
rnacentral:rRNA from 1 species